rnacentral:rRNA from 1 species
GAGAUGAACGCUUAGCGGCAGGCUUAAUACAUGCAAAGUUCGAGGGGCAGCGGGAGUAGCAAUACUUGCCGGCGACCCGGCGCACGGGGUGCGUAACACGUAUGUAAAUCUGGCCCAUCACAGGAGGAUAGCCCGGANAAAUUCGGAUUAAUCUCCAUAAUAGAAGAUAAAGCAUUUUAUUUCUUGAAAGUUCCGACGGUGAUGGAUGAACAUGCGACUGAUUAGUUUGUUGGUGAGGUAACGGGCUCACCAAGACUACGAUCAGUAGGGGUACUGAGAGGUUAAACCCCCACACUGGUACUGAGACACGGACCAGACUCCUACGGGAGGCAGCAGUAAGGAAUAUUGGACAAUGGCCGCAAGGCUGAUCCAGCCAUGCCGCGUGCAGGAAGACGGACCUAUGGUUGUAAACUGCUUUUGAACGGGACGAAAACCCCCCUACGUGUAGGGGGCUGAUAGUACUGUUAGAAUAAGCAUCGGCUAACUUCGUG